CGACCCGCCAUGCCCUCCGCUUUCCACCUCCGGCGACCCGCCGCGCCCCUCGCCUCCCACCUCCUGCGACCCGCCGCGCCCCCCGCCUCCCACCUCCUGCGACCCGCCGCGCCCCCCGCCUCCCACCUCCUGUGACUCGCCGCGCCCCCUGGCCUCCACCUCCAGCGACCCACCACGCCCCCUUCUCCCACCUCCGGCGCCGGGCGACGCGCCCCAGCUCCCACCUCCGACGAGGCGCCACGGCCUCCCACCUUCGGCGAUGCGCCACGGCCCUGCCUCCCAUCUCCGGCGACGCGCCGCCCCUGAACCCCGUCUCCUCUCUCGCGCCGCCCCCACUCGCCCCAGAACGCGUCCGUUCCUCCCACGGAGCCAAGCUCGCGCACCGUCGUCCCUCCCACCGCGCCGAGCUCGCACUCCAUCGCCGCUGGUGCCCCCAUCCUCGCGCCGUCCGUGACCCCUCCACUACACUCCUCUGCUGCAAGAACACGUCAGUUCGUGUGGAGAAUAACAGUCCGUCAGUUCGAUAGUUCGUCAAUUCGCCGAUUGGAUCCGUAGCAGCAGCGCUCGCUCCCCAAUGGUUGCCGGCGCAAGGAGGAUACAGGGAGGCGACAGUGGUGGAGUCAGCAGCGUUCCAUGGCCUUUGUCCUCCUCGUCGCAUAUUUUCUUAUAAACAACAAGAAGAAAACAAGGCAUAGGCUUCAUGCUCUCCAUCUCCUGGUAAAGGGGAGUUAAGCUCUACGGCCACUUGGAUGUGGAUGCUCAUGCUCCUCCACUGGGCGAGCUUCCAGGGCACCACGGGGAUUGAUAUUGUCAUCUCUACCAGUCGGCCAUGAGGGCCAAGAGGUUGCCUGCACCCUGCUGAAUGAAAUGCCACUUCUGACCAGCACCUGGCCUAAUGCCGUACGUAGACCGCCGUGCUUUUUAAGAUUUCCUGUAUGCAUGUACAUGAAAAAUCUCAACAAUUCCGUUUCUUGUCUACAUGAUUUUGUGCUAGCUUAUCACAAGUUCAUGUUGCAUGCUCAAUGUAGUGGCUAGCUGAAGAAAAUUUAUUGUUCUGUAGCUUUGGUCUUACCAUUGUGGUACUUGUGUUAUUGCGUAGGAAAAUGAAAAGAAAGGAGUUUUUUUGCAAAUCAAUGAAUGAGAACAAAGUUUGCUGUUUCCCCACCCAAUUUAGAGCUCCAAAAAAGUUCAGAGUUCAGAGUAGUUGUUUGGAGAUGAACAAUAAAUAAGUAUAAGAAAAAUUUGUAAAAAAGUACGACAAAGUCCACUAUGUAUUUCACCAUCAGUACAUAAAGAAAUAUUAUAUAAAAUUCCCUGCUCACAGACUAUUUUUAUAGCCUACUGGUUAGUGUCAAAAUGUGUUGUUCUUGUUUCUUUACGGUUGCUUCUUUAUUAUAUGAAUAUGAAUGUGCUAGCUAGCUUAGCAAUACCAUUUGGAGUCAGUAGGUGUAGCUCAAACAAUUCUUGAGCCAUUUUGUCAUAACAAUAAGGCAGGACAUGCUUACAAGAUGAUGAAACCAUGUAUAUAUAACUUGAUGACUGUCUAAAUUGAGAAAAUCCUGAAAUAUGAUAUGUGCUCUCUUUGUAUCAGUUCUUAUGCUUGUGACAAUUCUGCAAUCAUACUGUGCUCGGUAACUAGAAAAAAAUACAUAAGUUCCAAAUAUACUUACCAUGUUUGUUCAGUGUUUUUUCAGUGGUUAUUGGUUCCCUCUUAAGCAGAUGAACUACAUUGUCACAUUAAACUGCAGGGACAAGUUCUCUCAGUCCUCUCUCGACAAAUCCAACAGUACAGGUUUUCCGGGGUGCCAAGUAUUGCCGGCGGCGAUGCCUGCAUCAUGGCCCAUUGAGGAGAUCAUGCCCGUUAGUUGUAGGUUUUUCCGUAUGCACAUUUAUUUGUUUAGCUUUAAAUUUUUGUUGUUUUCCACAUUCGAUAAUUGUGUUAAUGCUUCUAUGUUGUGCACUUCUGAUCCCAUUGUGAGGAAAAAGACAAGUGAGAUAAGUACUUAUUUGGAAAGUUUGUAAGUUCAAGCACAAAAACCUAGAAGUUCAUUGAAAAAGUUUGGUGUGGUCUUCUCCACCAUGAGCCCCAGUGUGGAUCACCUGCAGCGGCCAAAUUCCGGCACGCCCAGCCGCUGCUCGUGAACCCCACCUCCACCAGCUCGACUUCAGCGGAGCCGUCAGUCCGCAGGAGUAGGGGUUGCAGGUACUUGGUGGUGCAGACUUGGUAGCGGUGAUAUCUUGGUUCGAUUAUAUAUCAACAACAGUGCAAUGACUGAAAGAUCAUCAGUUCAAAAUAUAUAUGCAGGAGGAGGUUCAAAGAUUGUCGUGGAACAAGUUAAAGAGUUCAGUACACCUGCGUCAGUCAUCCAUCAUCUUCUGACAUCUAGUAUCGAAGUCUCUCCCCCCCUCGCCGCACACACAGACCGGGCGGUCGAGCACCUCCUCAAGUGAGAUGGGCGGCGAGGCCCUACCAUCUCCCGGUGAUGGCUUGCCGGCACACCCUGUAGAUUCACCUCUCACUCGCGCCACGGCCGCAGCUUCACUCCCGUGUGCCACCCUCGGCUGCCGCGCCAUGGACUGUUCUCAGCGGCUGCGGGUGGAGCAGCUGGGUCGAGGAACUUUGCCUUGAUAGUACAACAUCACACUCUGCUGUCGGUCAUGAGAAGAGCUGCGUGCAGGCCACCCCGUGUCCGCCCUCGAUCCAUCUCAGUCAUCUCCCUCUCAUCCUCUCUCUCUCUCUGGUCUGUGUUUCUGUGUGCAGGGAGUGGGAGGAGAUAGAGCAGGGGAGCGGGAGGCCCUUCCAUGGCAAAUUCGUUGGCAUCUUCCAUGGAGAUUGCGACCUCUCUUGAUUUUUGCUUGAGGAUUUCUCCUCUGGAUCUGUCCACUGUAGUUCUUGUAUAGCGGCGUCCUUUUUUCUAGUGUUCCUCAAUGUUGAUGCAUGUGUUUAAUAACCCACUCAUAUGAAUUCUAAAAACAAGCUUCAGUACAAGAAAAAUGGGUCGUUCAGUUCAAUUCUGAAUUAUAGGUGUGUGUAAACACAUCCUCCUUACACAGUAACUAACUAACUAUGAUACCAUGUUCAGACUUCUACAAAUCCCGAAACUAUGCAGAGUUAGGAUUGUUACUACCUUGUUUCUUACUAUUGAUUCAUUUUUAUACUAUAUUGAGAUGGUACAUGUAGUUGGACAUCUCAAUAUACUGGUGAUUGCUUCUUGCUGCCUCUAUUUUUAUCAUGAUUUGGUGUGUGCACUGCAGCAGUGUUUUUGUUCCUAGAUCAGUUGCUCAACGACAGAAUUGUGUAUCGCACAGUACAUGUAUUACUACUAUGAAGGUUCAGAAAUAAGAACUCAAAGAAGUAUUGACAGCAUAGCUACUGUAUAUUCAAGGAGUCGGGUUUUGCUCCUUCGUCAUCUCAUCUCCUCCGUUCAGCAAAAGCCUCGAGAUAAGUUCACACAUAUGGUUUUGUUCUUUCUAUAAUUCUUGAGUCCAAACUCCUUCGUUUUUUGUUCCUUUGAAAUUAAAUAAACCUGUAGAAGUUUGGGGUAUAAAAUUCUGUAAGUUCGAAUUCGGGAAACUAGAAAGUGCAGACAAAAUUAAAACUGUCAAAGAAUUAUUGUAGGCAAGUUUAGAAGUUUGGUUUCAUGAGAAAAAAGUAUGAUUUUCUAUCAGUAUUUUGUAUGAUUCAUUUGCCACAACUAAAAAUAAAAAAUUAGACAAAAAAUAAUUUUGUUUACUAUCGGUAAUGCUCUCUCCACCCUACUGUCUGUUUUGGUUGAUGAACAAGUACGGGCAAAAUAUGUUGUAUAGGGCAAGUUCUUGUAUUAGUGCCAGGCAAGUUCAAAAAAAUAAACCGCGGCAAGUUCAAAAUGAAAAUGUGGCAAAAACAAAAAGGGAGUUCGGAAGUAGGAAUUUGGAUGUAUCUGCCAUUUUUCUUUUUUGUGCUCAGGUUUACAUGAAAAUACACUUUUAGUUUCAGGAAUUGAAGAACUUUUUAGGAAGAAUUAGCCUUUUGAGCUACUGUUGAUGGCUAGCAUUUGUGCCCCGAAGUACGAGUUUGGAAGGCCAGUAAGUUCUACUCUGGCAUAAGCCAACGGAGCAUCGGUCGAAGAAGGCCGAGGCGCCUCGUGCCAGCUCCGGGCAUCUCCGGAGGCCCUACCUGUUCUUCCACCGCCCAUGUGCACUCACCGUCGAGCCUAUCCAUGCACAGCUCUAGUAUUGAUGAGCUUCAGGCUUGUCGUUGUUCAUGCAGAUUAAUUCUUUGUUAAUUGCUAUUGCACAUUUAGUAAAUGUAGCCUUUGUCUUCUCAGUGAAGUUUUAUUGUGAAGAUUUUUUAAUGCACACCGAAACCAGAUUGUCUGCUGCUACAUGCGCAUCAUAUGCGUAUUUUUCCAUCGAGAAACCUCAUCAUAUGUAAAUGUCUUCUAAGUCUAGAUUUUGAUGAUGCAAA